CGUCCCAACAGGCUGUUGGCGGCCCGAUACCGCACAGAGCGCCCGCCUCGCCAGUUAGUGUUGGGCAAGCUAUCGGAACUGACGUACGUCACGUUUUUUUUAUUCCUUAAAAUUAAAGGCACGAUGUCAGGCAACAAAAGAAAGAUAAAUAUUUUGGAAAAUAAAUUAAUUUGCGGUGCAGAUAGUGAUAGUGACAGCAGUCAGGAGAUAUUUUCCUUGAAAAUGAGAAGAAGGUUUCAAAGAAAGAAUUUACAGAAGCAUUAAUACAAUCAAUUACUGGAAAAAAUAUAUGCCCUGAUAGUAAGUAUAACGACGUGCAACAUAACUGUAACCAUCUUUAGACCUAUGUUGAAGGUGAUUCCUUCUGUUUCGUGUUGACGACGUUCUACCUCUGCAACAGGAAAUCAAGUAACACCUACGGCCGAUCAUAUCCUUGAGAUGAGCCGUAAACGGCGAAAUUGUGUGGGGUGCUAUGAAAAACUGCGGGAAACCAUGAAGAGUUCCGAGGUGAAAAGGAAAGUAAAAAAAAUUAAAACAUACUGCAGAAUAUGCAAGCAAAAUCUUUGUGCGAAAUGUUUUAAAGACAGCCAUUAAUAAAUAAUUAAAUAAACAAUUUUUAUUUCUUUACUUUAA